rnacentral:siRNA from 1 species
GAUUCUAACUUGUCGCAAAGAAAA